ACACUCCUGCGGGAGGCAGCAGUGGGGAAUUUUGGACAAUGGGCGAAAGCCUGAUCCAGCAAUGCCGCGUGAGUGAAGAAGGCCUUCGGGUUGUAAAGCUCUUUUGUCAGGGAAGAAACGGUGAGAGCUAAUAUCUUUUGCUAAUGACGGUACCUGAAGAAUAAGCACCGGCUAACUACGUGCCAGCAGCCGCGGUAAUACGUAGGGUGCAAGCGUUAAUCGGAAUUACUGGGCGUAAAGCGUGCGCAGGCGGUUUUGUAAGUCUGAUGUGAAAUCCCCGGGCUCAACCUGGGAAUUGCAUUGGAGACUGCAAGGCUAGAAUCUGGCAGAGGGGGGUAGAAUUCCACGUGUAGCAGUGAAAUGCGUAGAUAUGUGGAGGAACACCGAUGGCGAAGGCAGCCCCCUGGGUCAAGAUUGACGCUCAUGCACGAAAGCGUGGGGAGCAAACAGGAUUAGAAACCCUGGUAGUCCCA
rnacentral:rRNA from 1 species